AGGAGACUCGCUGUAUGUUUAUCGCCAUUUCGAAGAAGCGCAGACAGUCAUCGGUCGGAGCUCAGAGCUGAUCUGCUGGACUGAACAUACUUUCAGUUCAUAAAGAAUGAAAAGAUUGCUGACAAACUGCUGCUGGAAAUGCCUGCAGUUCCUUCUUCCACUAAAGACCUGGACACUGUCUGAUGGAUGUGGCUGACUGGCUGCUCUUGUUGUCUAAACUGAAGGGGUGACGGAGCUGCGAGGAGGUCGACGAAGGACGGUCCUCUCUCGGUACACAUGUGAGCAAAGGAACUCAGGUUCAUUAUAUGGUGCAUGAUCUGUGUUGUGAAGACUGGUAUCACAAUCUAUAGAACCACAGUAUGUGAGCAUCACUCUGAACUCCAGUUAAUCCAGUAUGGAUGGUUACAGUGUUUCCCUCCAGCUCCUGCAGUCUAACAACCUCUUCUCCACCUGAGCACAGCAGACCUGGAACAGUAUGUGCAUGAAAGAGUCUGAAAUUCCUCUCAGAAGAUACAGACACUGUAACAGAGCUGAAACCAAAGCCAGCAAACCUGCUAGAAAGACUCAACUGACUCAGAGCUGGAAUCUUCUCAGAAAACAAGCUUCAGAAAACAAGAAAACAGCUGAUGUGCUCACACUGGGCUGGACAAGGCUGGACAUGUCUAUCAAACAUUGCAUUGUGAACAGUUCAAUGCCAUCCAUCCAUCCAUCCAUCCAUUUUCUAAGCCGCUUCUCCCUCAGGGUCGCGGGGGGGUGCUGGAGCCUAUCCCAGCAGUCUUCGGGCGGAAGGCAGGAUACACCCUGGACAGGUCACCAGUUCAAUGAAUCAAUCAAAUUUAUUUGUGUUUAUCUCUUAUUUGUAAAGGUAAAUUGUCACUUAUUUCCUCAAUGUACAAGUGUACAGUAAUAGGAAAGCACAACCAUCUCAAUCUCGUAAAGACUUAUAUCCACAUUGUGUAUCACACAUUUUGUAUCUAUGGCUGUAGUUUCAAAGUACAAUCAGUAGAUUGUUUUCAGCAGGAGUUCAGCCAGACAGAGGAAGUCAUUAUAUUUCAUGAUGAAGGCAUUGCCUGAAUACGCUGGAAGCUCUGAAUAAAGGAGGAUCUUUAUUUAA